UGCAGCAACGCCGCGUGAGGGAUGACGGCCUUCGGGUUGUAAACCUCUUUUAGUAGGGAAGAAGCGAAAGUGACGGUACCUGCAGAAAAAGCACCGGCUAACUACGUGCCAGCAGCCGCGGUAAUACGUAGGGUGCAAGCGUUGUCCGGAAUUAUUGGGCGUAAAGAGCUCGUAGGCGGUUUGUCGCGUCUGCUGUGAAAUCCCGAGGCUCAACCUCGGGCUUGCAGUGGGUACGGGCAGACUAGAGUGCGGUAGGGGAGAUUGGAAUUCCUGGUGUAGCGGUGGAAUGCGCAGAUAUUAUGAGGAACACCGAUGGCGAAGGCAGAUCUCUGGGCCGUAACUGACGCUGAGGAGCGAAAGCAUGGGGAGCGAACAGGAUUAGAUACCCUGGUAGUCCAUGCCGUAAACGUUGGGCGCUAGAUGUAGGGACCUUUCCACGGUUUCUGUGUCGUAGCUAACGCAUUAAGCGCCCCGCCUGGGGAGUACGGCCGCAAGGCUAAAACUCAAAGGAAUUGACGGGGGCCCGCACAAGCGGCGGAGCACGCGGAUUAAUUCGAUGCAACGCGAAGAACCUUACCAAGGCUUGACAUACACCGGAAACGGCCAGAGAUGGUCGCCCCCUUGUG
rnacentral:rRNA from 1 species